AGAAAAUUUAAACUGUUUAGCGCGGGAUCCCUAACAAUUGCAAACCCUAAAUUGCAAUUUCAGGGAAAGAUCUUCAAGUUUCGUUUCAUGGUUCAUAUGUUUGAUUGAAUCAGCGAGGUAGACGAAGAGGGAGAAUUGGAAUCGGAAGAUGAAAUGGAUAAGCGAGAUUCCACGGCAGACAGAUUCCUUUCGACGGUGCUGCCUCAGCGAUCGCUGGAAAUACGACGAAGAACAAAUGAACGAUGGACGGACAACUGUUUGUAGAAAUCUCGCUCGAUUCCCACUACGAAUCUGUCACAGUUCACAGCAUGUUGUCGUCCGAUUGGUUUGAUGGAUCAGAGUACGAGAAUCCUGGAGAGGUCGGUUCUGAUUUUCAUUUCUGUCCCUGUAGGUCUACAAAUAUUUAGGGUUUCAGUGAAGCUAACCGUGUCAUGUUCUUGAUC